AUGCAAGAUGGAUCUUGCCUCGGGGUGUCUACCACAAAGCCGCAUACAGGGGCUUUAUUGGGGGAAAUAAAGAUAUAUAGGGGCAGGACAGCAAGAAAAAAGGCACAGAUCCUCCAUUUCUUGUCAUCCCAUGGAGAGGCCAAUAUGGGCCAGAGUCCUGUUUGGUCUCACAAAGGAGCACACACACAUCUGCCUUCUAGUCCCCUCUUUUAAGGAGCAAGCAUGAAGAAACAGUCCUGUCAAUGAAGGAAUGUACAAGCCACCGAGCAACAGGCAGUUGGGACUGAGGUGGAUGCUUUAUAGAAAUUGUCUGUGAAUGCAGCUGCCUAUGGAAUGUUACAGUCUCCACCACUGGGGUAAAGAAAACUCUGGUUCCAUGGGCCCUGAGCUUGGGUGCAGAAGGGGAACUCUUAGCCACAGCUAGCUUGUUGUCCAGGCAACCCAGAAUGAAGUCCCAGUGCCACAGUCCUGCUGUGUCUGGGUAGGGGUUGGCAAACCUUGUCUAUAAAGGGCCAGAUGAAAAAGUUUUGGCUUUGCAAGCCUCUCUUGUCACAACUACUCAAGUCUGCUCUUGUAUAAUAAAAGCAGUUGUAGACAACAUGUAAACAAACGGAUGUGUCUGUGUUCUGAUAAAACUGUAUUUAUACAAAUAGACGACAGUCCACGUUGGGCCAUCAUUAGCUGAUCCCUGAUCUAGGCAAAAGAUUAUGGUAAUUUCAAUUGUGGAGAUGGCAGUGGGGAUGAAAUAUUUUACAAAUGUUUAAAAGAUAAAAUAUGUGGGACUUGAAGAUGAAUAUGGGAAAGGCAAGGGAGAGGGACAGGUCAAAGAACUCAUUCAUCGGUUCCAUGGUCCUGAGUAAGGUCUGUCACGGGGGCAGGCACUCUGUUAGCAGUAGGGAUACAAGCAGUAAAAACAAAAACAAAAACAAAACAGUUCCCUACCUCACAAUCUUAUAUUAAAUCUGGGAAGCAAUAAAUAGGUGGUAGUAAGUACUAAGAAUAUUUAAGUAGCCACAGUGACAAGAUAGGAAUGUGUUAUUUUAGAAAAGGUAAUCAGGGAAGGCUUCCUAUGGAAGAAACAUUCACCCAUUCCUUUCAUCCCCAGUCUUUCUCCCCUUCCAUCCAUUAUUUCUGUGAUUUCACUCUGCGGGUUCUCCUAGCUCUCCAGCCAUACUCUCUCAGGUUCCCUUGAGGGCUGUUUGUUCUCUCAAUUCCUGUGAUCAGCUGCAACUUCUCACUUGGUAACUCUUCCUGACAAUCUCAUGGACUCCCUGACUUCAGUGACAACCUAAACACCUACAACCAAAACACAAAUCUCUGUUUAACCUCAGCCACACGUACCAAACACAUGCUGGAUAUCCUCAGCCAGACUGUCCCCAAAUCCAGAAAGUAAAAAAAAGGUAAAUUAAUUUUUCCUUGUCUUCGUUCCAAAUUCCCAUUGCUGGGGAACGGCAUCACCAUCUACCCAGUUGUACCUGCUAGGAAGCAGGACUCUCGCUAGACUCCUUCCCUGCCUUCCCUCCACAUCCCAUUAGUCAUCAAGGCCAUCUGCUCUGUGUCUCACCCUGGGGUCCUCUUCCCUGCAUCAGUGCUCUCACUGGGACUCUUGCAGUUACUAUUGCCAUGAUUUAAUUUUUGAACAGGUAAACCGUUUACAUUUUCAAGAAGCAUAAAAUGGGUUUACAGUGAAAAGUCUUCCUCCACCCUCUUCAUCCUCCCAGAGGCAACUAAUUUACUCACUUUUUAAUAUAUACUUUUCCAGGAAUAGUUUAUACGAAAAUGUAUAUUUAUAUAUUCUAAACUUUUUUUCAGUCACUAAAAUUGUAGCAUGCCAUAGACAGUUUUCUAAUUGUUUUCUAUGUAAUACAUCUUUGAGAUCUUUCUUUUCAGUAA
rnacentral:lncRNA from 1 species